rnacentral:rRNA from 1 species
UAAGGAAUAUUGGUCAAUGGACGAAAGUCUGAACCAGCCAUGCCGCGUGAAGGAUGAAGGUCCUCUGGAUUGUAAACUUCUUUUAUCUGGGACGAAAAAAGGGAAUUCUUUCUCACUUGACGGUACCAGAAGAAUAAGCACCGGCUAACUCCGUGCCAGCAGCCGCGGUAAUACGGAGGGUGCAAGCGUUAUCCGGAUUCACUGGGUUUAAAGGGUGCGUAGGUGGGCAGUUAAGUCAGUGGUGAAAUCUCCGGGCUUAACCCGGAAACUGCCAUUGAUACUAUCUGUCUUGAAUACUCUGGAGGUAAGCGGAAUAUGUCAUGUAGCGGUGAAAUGCUUAAGAUAUGACAUAGAACACCGAUUGCGAAGGCAGCUUACUACGGAGUCAUUGACAUGAGGCAC